rnacentral:rRNA from 1 species
AUACGUAGGGUGCAAGCGUUAAUCGGAAUUACUGGGCGUAAAGCGUGCGCAGGCGGUUUUGUAAGACAGAGGUGAAAUCCCCGGGCUCAACCUGGGAACUGCCAUUGUGACUGCAAGGCUGGAGUGCGGCAGAGGGGGAUGGAAUUCCGCGUGUAGCAGUGAAAUGCGUAGAUAUGCGGAGGAACACCGAUGGCGAAGGCAAUCCCCGGGGCCUGCACUGACGCUCAUGCACGAAAGCGUGGGGAGCAAACAGGAUUAGAUACCCGGGUAGUCCACGCCCUAAACGAUGUCAUCUGGUUGUGGGGGAUUUAUUUUCUCAGUAACGAAGCUAACGCAUGAAGUUGACCGCCUGGGGAGUACGGCCGCAAGGUUAAAACUCAAAUGAAUUGACGGGG